rnacentral:misc_RNA from 1 species
CUUUAGAGGGGUUUCUUCGCCAGGUAAUUUUCUGAGUUGUGUCUUCCUAUUCCCAAGGAUCACUGGUGAGUGUAGGGUGGAUCCUUGAAAUACCAAGUAGCUUUUCUGGUGCAAUUAGGACAAGCAGAAUGAUUUUUUUAGUGUUCUUUUUUUUUUUUGAAUUUGAGCACAUGUUGGAUUUCAUUUUAUCAAGUCUAGGUUUCUCCUUUUGUUUUAAUUGUCAUCUAUAAGCAAGCGAGUUAGAUUUCUCCUUUAUGUGUUUCCAUAGUUAUAUAGCUGGACAGUUUUAUGUCGUAUGGAAUCUCCAGGCUAAAAAGAAACAUUGACACACAUAAUAAACGCUUGUAGGCGCAUACUAUCUUGCUACACAUUUGUGGGUUGAUACUGAUUAUUGGGAUAAGCAGGGAGUAGAAGUGUACUGAUUCAUUGCAGUAUUUUCCAAUUGAUUAGCAUCUGUAUGUUGUGAUACCUAAUCUGAAUCAGAUUUUAGUUUGUUUUGCUCAAAUUGGAUGAUACCCUUUUACAAGUUGUAACAUGCAAAUUGAUAUCUUAUAGUUUUUAAAAUUACGUGACUUGGACAAUAAUGUAACUUAUAUCAAAAGGAUCCAUAUCAUGAGAAUUGAAUGAAUUUUACGUUGGCUGUUAACCUACCGCAACCUUCCUUUUCCCAGGCUUGAGACACGUUAUACUUUGUUAAGCUCACAUAUAGCUGUCCCCAACUAGUUUGGGAUUAAGAC